rnacentral:tRNA from 1 species
GUGGCUGUAGCUCAGCAGGUAGAGCGCCGGAUUGUGGGUCCGGAUGCCGCGGGUUCAAGUCCCGUCAGCCACCCCA